GCUAGUUGGCGGGGAUCAGGAAGUAUUGCCUCUAGCCUUUGCUAGUUGGCGGGGUCAAGCCUCUAGCCUUUGCUAGUUGGCGGGGAUUAAGAAGUGUAGCCUCUAGCCUUUGCUAGUUGGCGGGGAGAAAAGAAAUCAAUGCUAUCUUGUGAUAGCUUGGGGUUAAAUUUAUUUCUAACCUAUUUUUAAGUCUUAACUUGCAUGCAAUUUACAUUAUAGGUGUUACUAUCCUAUCGGUAGAGGAAGUGCACAAGUUAUUUUGCAUCAAAGAGGGUGUAUCACCCUUGGAGAUGCUGGGAAGUGGAGAUAUUCUUGAGAAAUUCAAGAGUUCUCCACUACUCUACUCUACUGAGUAUCUUUGAGAGUGAGAAACUCUCAUAGAUACUGUAGAGUACAAUAUUCUCUCCUGGCCGUCCAGGUAAUGCCUUAGUUAAGUGAUAACUUCAAUCUAUGAUUGGCAACUAUUUAUCAUUAUUUUAUUGAUACUUUGAAAUUAGAGAUAUUCUUGAGCAAUUCAAGGGUUCUCUAAUCAGUAUCAUUGAGAGCAAGAAACUCUUAUUGAUACAGAAUUGUAGUGAUACUGUAGGUUCAGGUACUGCCUUAGUUUAGUCCAAGUUAAGAUUUGUAACUGUUUAUCUACAUGUUAUAAAAUUGCUUUGUUUUGAAAGUGCGUUACAAGUUUGUUACAGCUUAGCCUACCAAUCGAAUCCAAGUGCACCAUUGUGGAUAUUUUUCGAAAGGAUCACUGUGCAUCUAAACAAACCAUUAAGGGCAGAUAUCAAUACUAUUUUCUGACCGCGGAGCAGCUCUACAUCACAAGUGAAGAUAUGGUUCGGUGAAUGUGUUUGUUACAGCUUAGCCUACCAAUCGAAUCCAAGUGCACCAUUGUGGAUAUUUUUCGAAAGGAUUAAUAUGAAUCUGAAGAAACAAACAAUUAUGGAGAAGCAUGUGGAUCAUCAUGAAGAUGCCACCAGCUACUCAAUGCAUUGGAGAGCAGCUCUACUACCAAAGUGGAGAUAUGGAUCAUUCAAUGUGGUAUGAGACAUCUGGUAUUUAUAUUAUUAGUUGAUUAGGAUAGAUUUCUAACCCUUCCCAAUAACACUGAUGGCUAGGGCUGGGAUGUUGUAUGAUCUUGUUAGGGUCCCUGUAGGAUAUUUACAGUGUCAGUUGAAUGUUUCAUUUCUGAUCAGUGCCCUUUGUGGUGGUCUCACGGCUUUUUCAUUAUGGUUGCGGGCUCAGUACAGCACUAAUUUGAUGAGCAGGUGGUACUGUUACACUGUGGCCAGGUCUGAUCUUUUCUAUGAGACUGGCGAUGCAAAUAUUUGAUUGUAGUGCCUUCAGCAAACUUAGGAAAGGGGGGAUGAGAAUUAUUUGAGUUAAGAAUUAGGAUUAAGAAAUUAGUGAUCUAAGUUUAGAUUAGAUACUGAAGUUAUAUUGGUAGAGUCUAGCCUCUAGCCUUUGCUAGUUGGCGGGGUUAAGCCUCUAGCCUUUGCUAGU